AUUGAACGCUGGCGGCAGGCUUAACACAUGCAAGUCGAGCGGGGUGAUGGUGCUUGCACUAUCACUUAGCGGCGGACGGGUGAGUAAUGCUUAGGAAUCUGCCUAUUAGUGGGGGACAACAUCUCGAAAGGGAUGCUAAUACCGCGUACGUCCUACGGGAGAAAGCAGGGGAUCACUUGUGACCUUGCGCUAAUAGAUGAGCCUAAGUCGGAUCAGCUAGUUGGUGGGGUAAAGGCCUACCAAGGCGACGAUCUGUAGCGGGUCUGAGAGGAUGAUCCGCCACACUGGGACUGGGACACGGCCCAGACUCCUACGGGAGGCAGCAGUGGGGAAUAUUGGACAAUGGGGGGAACCCUGAUCCAGCCAUGCCGCGUGUGUGAAGAAGGCCUUAUGGUUGUAAAGCACUUUAAGCGAGGAGGAGGCUCUUUUGGUUAAUACCCAAGAUGAGUGGACGUUACUCGCAGAAUAAGCACCGGCUAACUCUGUGCCAGCCGCCGCAGUAA
rnacentral:rRNA from 1 species